rnacentral:rRNA from 1 species
GAUAUGGUCAGGAUGAACGCUGGCGGCGUGCUUAACACAUGCAAGUCGAGCGAAGCACUUAGGAAAGAUUCUUCGGAUGAUUUCCUAUUUGACUGAGCGGCGGACGGGUGAGUAACGCGUGGGUAACCUGCCUCAUACAGGGGGAUAACAGUUAGAAAUGACUGCUAAUACCGCAUAAGACCACAGCACUGCAUGGUGCAGGGGUAAAAACUCCGGUGGUAUGAGAUGGACCCGCGU